GACGAACGCUGGCGGCGUGCCUAAUACAUGCAAGUAGAACGCACAGUUUAUACCGUAGCUUGCUACACCAUAGACUGUGAGUUGCGAACGGGUGAGUAACGCGUAGGUAACCUGCCUGGUAGCGGGGGAUAACUAUUGGAAACGAUAGCUAAUACCGCAUAAUAUUGAUUAUUGCAUGAUAAUUAAUUGAAAGGUGCAAUUGCACCACUACCAGAUGGACCUGCGUUGUAUUAGCUAGUAGGUGAGGUAACGGCUCACCUAGGCGACGAUACAUAGCCGACCUGAGAGGGUGAUCCGCCACACUGGGAAUGAGACACGGCCCAGACUCCUACGGGAGGCAGCAGUAGGGAAUCUUCGGAAAUGGACGAAAGGCUGACCGAGCAACGCCGCGUGAGUGAAGAAGGUUUUCGGAUCGUAAAGCUCUGUUGUAAGAGAAGAACGGGUGUGAGAGUGGAAAGUUCACACUGUGACGGUAUCUUACCAGAAAGGGACGGCUAACUACGUG
rnacentral:rRNA from 1 species